UACAGAGGGGGCAAGCGUUAUUCGGAAUUAUUGGGCGUAAAGCGCACGUAGGCGGCAUUGCAAGUCGGAUGUGAAAUCUUAUGGCUUAACCAUAAAAGUGCAUCCGAAACUGCAGUGCUUGAGUACUUAAGAGGAUCGCGGAAUUCCCGGUGUAGAGGUGAAAUUCGUAGAUAUCGGGAGGAACACCAGUGGCGAAGGCGGCGAUCUGGGAAGAUACUGACGCUGAGGUGCGAAAGCGUGGGGAGCAAACAGG
rnacentral:rRNA from 1 species